UGGGGAAUUGUUCACAAUGGGCGCAAGCCUGAUGACGCAACGCCGCGUGGGGGAUGAAGGUCUUCGGAUCGUAAACCCCUGUCGAAUGGGACGAAAGACUCGCGAGUGAAUACUUCGCGAGAGUGACGGUACCGUUAAAGGAAGCCACGGCUAACUCUGUGCCAGCAGCCGCGGUAAUACAGAGGUGGCAAGCGUUGUUCGGAAUUACUGGGCGUAAAGGGCGCGUAGGCGGCCCUCUAAGUCAGACGUGAAAUCCCCCGGCUUAACCUGGGAACUGCGUCUGAUACUGGAGGGCUUGAGUAUGGGAGAGGGAUGUAGAAUUCCAGGUGUAGCGGUGAAAUGCGUAGAUAUCUGGAGGAAUACCGGUGGCGAAGGCGGCAUCCUGGACCAUUACUGACGCUGAGGCGCGAAAGCUAGGGGAGCAAACGGGAUUAGAUACCCGUGUAGUCCCUGAGCGGGCUGGCAAGGCGCAU
rnacentral:rRNA from 1 species